AUCGCUUCUCGGCCUUUUGGCUAAGAUCAUGUGUAGUAUCUGUUCUUGUCAGCUUAAUAUCUGGCAUGCUGGGCAUAGCCUGGCACCAAUAUUAUUUAAACUGAUUUUUACUUCCCGAGUUAACACCGAAGCUUGCUUCAGUUGACUCACGGAUUGUCCCGGUCUUACACUACCAUCGGGAGCAGUCCACCUGAA